AGAGUUUGAUCCUGGCUCAGGACGAACGCUGGCGGCGUGCGUAACACAUGCAAGUCGGACGGACGCAGCAAUGCGUCAGUGGCGGACGGGUGCGUAACACGUGGCUACCAACCCAUCGCUGGGGGAUACCCGGAGGAAACUCUGGUUAAGACCGCAUACGCUCGGUGAGGAAAGCUCUUCGGAGCGGCGAUGGCUGGGGCUGCGGCCGAUUAGGUAGAUGGUGGGGUAAGCGCCUACCAUGCCGACGAUCGGUAGCUGGUCUGAGAGGAUGGCCAGCCACACUGGGAUUGAGAACGGCCCAGACUCCUACGGGGGGCAGCAGUGAGGAAUCUUCGGCAAUGGGCGCAAGCCUGACCGAGCGACGCCGCGUGCGGGACGACGCCUUUCGGGGUGUAAACCGCUUUUCGCCGGGACGAGAACGGACGGUACCGGCGGAAUCAGCCUCGGCUAACUACGUGCCGGCAGCCGCGGUAAUACGUAGGAGGCAAGCGUUGUCCGGAAUUACUGGGCGUAAAGCGUUGGUAGGUGGCCGUGUGCGUCGGCGGUGAAAUCGCUCGGCUUAACCGGGCGAG
rnacentral:rRNA from 1 species